GAUGAACGCUGGCGGCGUGCCUAAUACAUGCAAGUCGAGCGAACAGACGAGGAGCCUUCUUGCCUGACGUUCGCGGCGGACGGGUGAGUAACACGUGGAUAACCCACCUUUAAGACUGGGAUAAAUUCGGGAAACCGGUGCCAAUUCCGGCUAAUAUACUGAACCGCAUGGUUCAAUAGUUAAGGACGGCUUUGCUGUCACUUAUAGCUGGUGCCGCGCCGCAUUAGCUAGUUGGUCAGGUAACGGCUUACCAAGGCAACGAUGCGUAGCCGACCUGAGAGGGUGAUCGGCCACACUGGAACUGAGACACGGUCCAGACUCCUACGGGAGGCAGCAGUAGGGAAUCUUGCGCAAUGGGCGAAAGCCUGACGGAGCAACGCCGCGUGAGUGAUGAAGGUCUUCGGAUCGUAAAACUCUGUUAUUAGGGAAGAACAAAUGUGUAAGUAACUAUGCGCGUAUUGACGGUACCUGAUCAAAAAGCCACGGCUAACUACGUG
rnacentral:rRNA from 1 species